ACGACCUUAGCUCAACUGGAAGAGCGUAGGAUUUGUGUUCCUUUGGUUGCUGGUUCAAAUCCAGCAGGUCGUG